UACGUAGGGUGCGAGCGUUGUCCGGAAUUAUUGGGCGUAAAGAGCUUGUAGGCGGUUUGUCGCGUCUGCUGUGAAAAUCCGGGGCUCAACUCCGGACUUGCAGUGGGUACGGGCAGGCUAGAGUGUGGUAGGGGAGACUGGAAUUCCUGGUGUAGCGGUGAAAUGCGUAGAUAUCUGGAGGAACACCGGUGGCGAAGGCGGCGUCCUGGACCAACACUGACACUGAGGAGCGAAAGCCAGGGGAGCAAACGGG
rnacentral:rRNA from 1 species